AGUAAAACCAAAUUCUUUGUUAUAUUAUAAAAAAUGGGUAUUCACCCUUUUCUUAUUGUAAAGACAGCACUGGAAUUGUGAAAGCUCAAAAAGGGGCCAAAACAGCCCUCAACCCACAUUACAUUUCUACAGGUCACACCAAGAAGAACAAAUGGCAAGAUGAGCAAAAUAGCAUGCUUAAUAACACUAACAAAAACUCUGAAGUUUUCCAUUUACAGGUGACAGCAGUUCUAGUAAGGCCAAGGAAUGCUUCGCUCCAUCAAAGAGAACCACUUCAACAACUCCACACAGCAUGAAGUGAGGGAUGAAGGGCGUGCUAGUAACAACCCACCCUUGCCAACGAUGGAAAGACCAUUGCAACAACACGCAAAGAGUCUCCCUGGUGAAGAUGGAAUGAGAGAGUGAUGGGACUGCUACUGAGAUCGAAAUACUUGGGAGCAGAUGGGAGCCAACAAAUGGAAAAGAAAAAGUGGAAAGAUAAUGUCAAGUAAUGGCAGAUGUAGAAUUUGAAGGUUAUGAGGAGAAGGGAAAUAUGGAUGUAGGAGGAUUUGAAGGGAAAAUAGAGCAAUUGAAUGCAACAAAUAGAAUGAAAAAAGCAAAAUAGAAAAGCUCGAGAUUUGUAAACUGAAGAAGGAAAAGUAUGUGUUAUGUUUGGGGGACAAUGAUGUAUUUAUAUACCAAAUAAUACUGCUCUAGAAGGAGCAUUUAAUGAAGUAAUGAUCAAAUUGAAAAGGCUUAGAAUGGUAUAUAAAGAAAAUGUUGGAAAAGAUAAUAAAAUGUGAGACUGGUUUGAUUUAAAGUUAGGAGCAUGGGGAGCAUGGUUUGCUAAAUUGGGAAAGUUUUUAGGAAUUGCAUUAUUGACAGGAGAUUUAAUAUUUUACUGUAUACUUCCUAUAUUGAGGUCACUAGUCAAAGCCACAGCUAAGCAAAUGAAAUCCAAAGAUGUUAA